GUAGUACAUCACGAGCGACCAACAGGUCCGGCAACCGGGAUUUCCCACGGUGCCAUUUCGCGAAAUGCGAAAGAUGUGGCUACGCCAACAGGCGUAGCAACGGGCUGGCUCAGUUG
ncrna:unclassified sequences SAM-I/IV variant riboswitch